rnacentral:rRNA from 1 species
AACAAACGCUGGCGGCGUGCCUAACACAUGUAAGUCGUACGAGAAAGGGUCCCUCGGGGCCUGAGUAAAGUGGCGCACGGGUGAGUAACGCGUGGAUAAUCUGCCCUUCAGUUGGGAAUAACUCAUCGAAAGGUGGGCUAAUACCGAAUAAUGCUGUGAGACCUCGGUUGAUCAGCCAAAGAGAGCCUCUGCUUGCAAGCCCUCGCUGAAGGAUGAGUCCGCGUACCAUUAGCUAGUUGGUAGGGUAAUGGCCUACCAAGGCGACGAUGGUUAGCUGGUCUGAGAGGAUGAUCAGCCACACUGGAACUGAGACACGGUCCAGACUCCUACGGGAGGCAGCAGUGAGGAAUCUUGCGCAAUGGGGGCAACCCUGACGCAGCAACGCCGCGUGAGUGAGGAAGGUCUUCGGAUCGUAAAGCUCUGUCGGAUGGAAAGAACCGCAUAGGGGUAAACAGCCCCUGUGUCUGACGGUACCAUCAAAGGAAGCACCGGCUAACUCCGUGCCAGCCGCCGCGGUAAUAC